GACGAACGCUGGCGGCGUGCUUAACACAUGCAAGUCGAACGGAAAGGCCCUGCUUUUGUGGGGUGCUCGAGUGGCGAACGGGUGAGUAACACGUGAGUAACCUGCCCUUGACUUUGGGAUAACUUCAGGAAACUGGGGCUAAUACCGGAUAGGAGCUCCUGCUGCAUGGUGGGGGUUGGAAAGUUUCGGCGGUUGGGGAUGGACUCGCGGCUUAUCAGCUUGUUGGUGGGGUAGUGGCUUACCAAGGCUUUGACGGGUAGCCGGCCUGAGAAGGUGACCGGCCACAUUGGGACUGAGAUACGGCCCAGACUCCUACGGGAGGCAGCAGUGGGGAAGAUUGCACAAUGGGCGGAAGCAUGAUGCAGCAACGCCGCGUGCGGGAUGACGGCCUUCGGGUUGUAAACCGCUUUCGCCUGUGACGAAGCGUGAGUGACGGUAAUGGGUAAAGAAGCACCGGCUAACUACGUG
rnacentral:rRNA from 1 species